UUCAAGAUGCAGGGGGGGGAAUUCAAGAUGCAAGAUCCUUGCUUGCCACCAAGCUACCAGCCUCUGCAGCCACCCCCAUGGUGUACCCUGAGGGGCUUCAGCAGAGGGAAAAACAGAAUACCUGCCCUAGACUCUUACCACUAAAUUCAUUAACUUGAGAUGUCUGGUUUUCUUUAAUUAGCAGUAAUCUUUUGAUGUUCUGACUACCUGGGUUUUUUUGUUUGUUUGUUUUGCAAAAAAACGCCUAUAUUCCUGACUGCUCCCUAUCUCUUUGGAAGAAUCCCUCAAAGCUACCUGAGAUGCUGUAUCUGGAGCUUAAGUCUUCAGUAAGUCCGCUGAAUACAACAGAAUUCUCACUUUCUAAGUUGUGCCUUUUUUUUCAGUUGACGAAUGAUUUCCUGUGAAGCUCUUGGAUAACCAGACUUCUCUGUGGAGACACAGCCUAGCAGACCCUCAACUUUUGGGAGACUCCAUUUACUGCCGUUGUGUCUCUGGAGGGGACCUCCCCGGUGGCUCAGUGGCUCAGAUUGAACCGGAGAUGCCGGCUCAAUCCCUGGGUCAGGAAGAUCUCCUGGAGGAGGAGAUGGCAAAUCAUUCCAAUAUUCUUGCCUGGAAUAUAUCUCGGACAGAAAUUUCUGGAGGGGACCUGACUAGGGGAGACUGUAAUGACCAUCUGGGAGUAGAAGAUACUGUCUGACUAGAAGGAAAUGAACUCCAUCUAUCAUCUCCUAUGGGUCACUCGACGCCUUUACAAUGUCCCCCAUUGAUAGGGAUCAGGUGACUUUGAUAAAGCUCUCUUGGCUCUGUUGCUCCUCAGUGAAAAGCAGAAAAUAUUUGAUUGGAUGGAGAGACCCCUUUCUUUGUGUCCUGCCUGCCAGUCUGGAAGGAGAAAAGCUGUUACAGGCUCACCCCGAGAUGGAAAGGGCAUGGGUCACUGAAGUGAAAUACUCACCUCACCGGCAUAUGAGGUGACAUCUUUGUUCUCAUCCUUUGUUUUUUAACCCAAAUGACAAAUGGAUCUGUUUAUUCCUAGCUAUCCCACACCCCCUGGAUGGUUAUGUUGUUGUACAAUCUGUGCGUGUACAGCUGGAUGAUUUUAUGAAUGUUGUGUCAGUACAUGUCUUGGGUUUAAUAAAACAACCCUCCCUUAGAGGCAGACACAUUAUGAGUGGAGCACCGUCUCAGGGUGUGGGGUUUCCUGCACAUACUCUUUGUCUUUCAUUUUAUGAGAAAAUAUUUUUAAAACCUAACAAGUAUAUUUUGACUACCCAUUAGCAGUUUCAAAUUUUUAGCAAAAUGCUAACCAUCCAUCAGGUUGAAACAAUUUAAGCAUUGAAUCUCAAAAACAGAUUAGAUGAAAACCAAUUUAACUUUAAAGGAAAGUUUACCUGAGAGGCCCUGGAGAAAAUUACUGGUAGAGGAAUUUCGGAAAUCGAAGAGUUUUAAGUCACUGUGGUUGGUCUUACCCCAGGAAUAAAGUUGAGUGCACACCGUCUACCUGGUAUAUUUUGUGAUGGAGUAAAUUUUUGAUUCCAUCACAGUUUGAGCCCAGACUCAAACUCUGACCAUUUCCCUCCCUUUUCUAACCUUACCUUCUAUUUACAAAGGAGGGUUCUUCUCUUAUCAGGCCAGAUCAUACUCCCCUUGCACAUAUGGAGUUUGGGACUUUAAAGGAUCAAAACUUGCUCAGGUUUUUAGGGAAUUAGAAUAUGCAGAAGUAGGACUUCUUUGGUGAUCUAGUGUCUAAGACUUUGCACUCCCAAGGCAGGGGACCUGGGUUCGAUCCCUGGUCAGGGAACUAGAUCCCACAAGCCACAGCUAAGACCUGGUGUAGCCAAAUAAAUAAAUAAAUAUUGGGAAAAAAAAGAGUCUCCUUAAAAAAUAUGUGGAAGUAGGAGAGACUUCAGAGGUGAGUUCCAAGGCUGACUUUCUCAUGUUGGAGAGUAAGAAAAAGCCAAAUGUAAUAGAAUUUAUUAACCCCAAGAACAUUAGACUUUUAUUAUAAUAAAUAGCCACUCGUAUUUGAAGGUGGUAACAGUUCCCAUUGGGACAGGCAUAUUAUAUGGGAGGUGGAAAGAAUUUCCAAAUUAUAGAGGAAACGUAGAGUGGAGGGUAUAGGUGCUAGUGUGGGUUAUUGGAUUAUUAUCUGCUGAGAUACAAAGAUCAUCUGAUUGAGAAAAGGACUUCUUUCCUCUCUUGAUUGAUGAUGUCAAAACCUUGGCCAUUGUCCAUGAUGAAUCACCACCCACGUUUAGCAAAUGCCCACAUAUGCUGAGGUGACUUGCAGGCAGAAAGGGCACCUCGUGGCUAAUUGAGAACAUUGGCUGUUGGUAAAGAAAUCCUCAAAGAGGAAGAAGGAAGGUAUGUUGCCGUGGGGCUCCUCAGAUAAAUAGAACUCCUUUUGGUAGCAUUUGCCACAUUUUUUAGAAGGUGGUCGUUCUAAAAGGUCCUGCCUGCCGCAAGCAUUUCUUACAGAUGAGUUUGUGUGUGUAAAGGGAUUUCCCUCUGAGAACCAGAAGCUCUGUCAAGGCAUUUGUGUCUAAGAAAGAACCAUCUAGAGGGUGGAGGUGGCCUGUCUGUUGCCAGAAGGACCAGCCAGGUACGGAGUCAGGUGACCUUCUCAGCGGGCACACGCUCACCUCCUGUGGAUUCAUGCAGCCUUCUUUGAACAAAGAAUUCCUCAGUUGAGAGGAUUUAAAUCUUGACUAAAUCAUGAUGGGGGGAAUAAAAGUACUAUGCUAAGAACAGCAUUUUCAUGUUUUUUUUUGUUUGUUUUCCUGACAAUGAACACUAGUCUGAUAAUCAGCCAUGACAGAGAGCUUCCUCAAGCAGCCUCUGGACGGGAUUUUUCCAUCUUAUUCUAAAUUAUAUUCUUUAUCAGAGUAGAAGAGAAGGCUUGAGACAGCCCUUGGCACCCAAUCAAGUGGGCGAGGCUAUGCUCUUGUCUUGAUUUUGACCUGCCACAAGGCUAGUAUUGGGUCAGCGGUGGAUCUGAGGGCCUGUGUUCUUUGUCCUAAUGUUUGUGAAUGAUGCGCAUUAUGCAUAAUAUGAUUAUGAUUGCCGAGCUAAGAAUUCUUCUCCAGCUCUUUUUAAAAUGUCAUCAGAUUCUAAGUGCUUUCUUAGUCUUUCAUGAAGAUACUGGUGGUUUUCUUAGAUGACCAAUCGGCAUAAAGGUGAUGAGAUGGCACGUGUUGUGUAGCAAUAUUGUCUGUGCUGUCCUCUGCCCCUGUUUGCUCCUCGGUCCAGGGCUUGUCAGAGUGGAUUAAGCAAAUGAAGUGUAAUUUGUCAGAUUCCAGGAAAGGAAAUGGAAAACUAUUCUCAUGUGCUUCAGUGGCUGAGUCCCUGGUCUGGUGACAGAGUAAGCACUUCCAUGACGUGGGUUAGCUUGGUGGUGAAGCUCAUAGCCUUUGGCACCAUGUUGGUUUUGACACAUAUAGACCUUGGCAUUACACAAACCUGAGUUUGAUCACCAGCUCCCCACUAUUACGUGCGUUCUCAGUCAUAUCUAACUCUUUGUCACCUUAUGGACUGUAGCCCUUUAGGCUCCUCUGUCCAUGGGAUUAUUCUGAACAUGGGAUUAUCCUGAAAUUAUCCAUGGGGUGGGGUACCAUUUCCUCCUUCCAGGGAUCGAAUCUGUGUCUUCUAUGACUUCUGCGUUGGCAGGUGGAUUCUUUACCACUGAGCCACUGGGGAAGCCUUACUAUUACUGUGUGGCCCUGGGCAAAUUACUUAGCUUCCCUGGCCCCCAUUUCUCCACCCAGAAAAAUGGGUUAAUAGCACCUUAUUUAUUGGGUGCCAUGAGCAUUGGCUGGAAUAAUGUUGAAAAUGAGUCUAGUGGCAUGUGCUUGUGUUUUAAAUAUUCUAAUUCCUUUUAUAAGAGGGGAGCUGAGCAGUGGAGUCCUUGAGCAGGGUUUGAUCAGUCAGCACUUAUAUUCAUUCUCACCUCCCUCCAGAAUGCCUCUCCUUACUACAGAGAUUAGAAAACCCCAAGCUACCACAUUUCCCAGACUCUCUUUUAGCUAGAAGAUUGUUCCAUUUCACGAGAUCUGUGUAUACGUUGUUUGCAAGGAGGAAAUGAGGUAGUGGCCAUUUUUCAUGCUGUUUUUGGCUAUUUUCUGCAGGCAAGCAAGAUCAUGAAAUUUUCUGGAGCACUUGUCCAGCUCUGUAGGUGAUGUGAAGCAAUGACAUUCUGAUCCUGGCAUCCAGAUCCCUGUUUCUUCACCCCUGGAUUGCAAUUAUGAUGGUGUUCUUGAACUCCACACACUCAGGGGCAGCCUCGAAAGUCCCCAGUGUCUUGAUUUCAGCACAGGGAGCAGCUUCCUAGUCAUUGGCUCUUUGGAAUUAUGGGAGUACCCCGGGACUCACCCAAGAGCCCCCUUCUCUUGUCUUUCCACCACUGCCCUAAUUCAGUCCAUUUGUGUUUAAAAUUGAAUGGAGUAUGUUUCAAACACCAAAUCCUAAUUUGUACAGUAAGUGAGUCCCAUGGGAAGAAUGAAGGAAGGGACCAUAUAGAAGAAAAGAGAGUAGUGAGAAGAAGGUGCAAGAGGUCAGGAAAAGGAAAAGAUACCUUUAAUUGAUGGCUAAGGUAACACUGACCAUUGCUUACAGUUCAGAUAAGCAUGGAACACUCAAGAAGGGAGAAGCAAAACUGCUAUGAGGUCUGGGUUUAAGAUCUGCUAUUUAAAAAAGAAAAACCUGCUAUUAAGUGGACAUCAAGGAUGACAUGGAUCCCAUAGGGGCUUUUCUGAUAGCUCAGUUGGUAAAGAAUCUGCCUGCAGCGCAGGAGACCCCAGUUUGAUUCCUGGGUCAGGAAGAUCCCCUGGAGAAGAGAUAG